GACGAACGCUGGCGGCGUGCCUAAUACAUGCAAGUAGAACGCUGAAGGAGGAGCUUGCUCUUCUGGAUGAGUUGCGAACGGGUGAGUAACGCGUAGGUAACCUGCCUGGUAGCGGGGGAUAACUAUUGGAAACGAUAGCUAAUACCGCAUAAGAGUAGAUGUUGCAUGACAUUUACUUAAAAGGUGCAAUUGCAUCACUACCAGAUGGUCCUGCGUUGUAUUAGCUAGUUGGUGGGGUAACGGCUUACCAAGGCGACGAUACAUAGCCGACCUGAGAGGGUGAUCGGCCACACUGGGACUGAGACACGGCCCAGACUCCUACGGGAGGCAGCAGUAGGGAAUCUUCGGCAAUGGACGGAAGUCUGACCGAGCAACGCCGCGUGAGUGAAGAAGGUUUUCGGAUCGUAAAGCUCUGUUGUAAGAGAAGAACGAGUGUGAGAGUGGAAAGUUCACACUGUGACGGUAUCUUACCAGAAAGGGACGGCUAACUACGUG
rnacentral:rRNA from 1 species